rnacentral:rRNA from 1 species
CUCCAGACUCCUACGGGAGGCAGCAGUGAGGAAUAUUGGUCAAUGGGCGGGAGCCUGAACCAGCCAAGUCGCGUGAGGGAUGACGGCCCUAUGGGUUGUAAACCUCUUUUGCCGGGGAGCAAAGUGCCGCACGUGUGCGGUUUGGAGAGUACCCGGAGAAAAAGCAUCGGCUAACUCCGUGCCAGCAGCCGCGGUAAUACGUAGGUGGCAAGCGUUGUCCGGAUUUACUGGGUGUAAAGGGCGUGCAGCCGGGAAGACAAGUCAGAUGUGAAAUCCCGCGGCUCAACCGCGGAACUGCAUUUGAAACUGUUUUUCUUGAGUACCGGAGAGGUCAUCGGAAUUCCUUGUGUAGCGGUGAAACGCGUAGAUAUAAGGAAGAACACCAGUGGCGAAGGCGGAUGACUGGACGGCAACUGACGGUGAGGCGCGAAAGCGUGUGGAGCAAACAGGAUUAGAUACCCGAGUA